GAUGAACGCUAGCGGCAGGCUUAACACAUGCAAGUCGAGGGGUAUAGUAGCAAUACUAGAGACCGGCGCACGGGUGCGUAACGCGUAUGCAAUCUACCUUUUACAGAGGGAUAGCCCAGAGAAAUUUGGAUUAAUACCUCAUAGCAUUGCGAAAUGGCAUCAUUUUGCAAUUAAAGUCACAACGGUAAAAGAUGAGCAUGCGUCCCAUUAGCUAGUUGGUAAGGUAACGGCUUACCAAGGCAACGAUGGGUAGGGGUCCUGAGAGGGAGAUCCCCCACACUGGUACUGAGACACGGACCAGACUCCUACGGGAGGCAGCAGUGAGGAAUAUUGGACAAUGGGCGCAAGCCUGAUCCAGCCAUGCCGCGUGCAGGAUGACGGUCCUAUGGAUUGUAAACUGCUUUUGCACAGGAAGAAGCAACGCUACGUGUAGCGUCUUGACGGUGCUGUGAGAAUAAGGAUCGGCUAACU
rnacentral:rRNA from 1 species